ncrna:Ralstonia pickettii 12J C4 antisense RNA
UACUUUGGCGGGCCGGAUGGUGAGACCUUCGGGUCUACCGGUUUCCUUGGGACCGGGUCGCUAACACCAUCGUCAGGCCCGCCACCCUC